CUGCUGCCUUCCGUAGGAGUUUGGGCCGUGUCUCAGUCCCAAUGUGGCCGAUCAACCUCUCAGUUCGGCUACGCAUCAUUGCCUUGGUAAGCCUUUACCCCACCAACUAGCUAAUGCGCCGCGGGCCCAUCCAAAAGCGGUAGCAUAGCCACCUUUUACAUAGUUACCAUGCGGUAACUAUGGUUAUGCGGUAUUAGCACCUGUUUCCAAGUGUUAUCCCCCCUCUUUUGGGCAGGUUGCCCACGUGUUACUCACCCGUUCGCC
rnacentral:rRNA from 1 species